rnacentral:tRNA from 1 species
GCCGGGGUGGCGGAACUGGUAGACGCGUCGGUCUCAAAAACCGAUGAGGGUGACCUCGUGCCGGUUCGAUUCCGGCCCUCGGCA